rnacentral:lncRNA from 1 species
AAAACAUAUAAAAUAUAUUUAUAUAUAUAAAAUAAUUUGCAUUAAGUUUACAUUGAGAACAUAUACAAAAAAGGAGACUUUCUUCUUUUGGUUCACUGUGCUACACCACCAAAGCUUCCACUCUUCAGUUUUUCAGAACCCUGUGUGUUGCCAUCGGACGAAUGGUUAAAUUCUAUUGUUAAUGAAAACAAAAAAAGUUCACAAAUUAUGGAAAAGUUUGAAGUAUUAUGUGAAUCUGCAAAAAUUCCAAAAAAAAGUGUUGUCGCAACCGGUAAACCUGGUGAAGCUAUCAUAGAAGCUGCAAAUUUAGAAGGAAUAAACCUCAUAGUUAUGGGGGCGCGAGGUUUAAACGCUUUAAGACGUACGUUUAUUGCUAGUGUGUUAUUCUAAUGUUCCUGUUACAAUAGUUCCUCCAAUCGUCUGAAACAAACGUUAUUCAAAUUUUUUUUUAAUACUUAUAUA